CUUGUAGGUGGCGUGUCGCGUCUGUCGUGAAAGGCUCCGGCUUAACUGGAGUAGUGCGGUGGGUACGGGCAUGCUUGAGUGUGGUAGGGGAGAUUGGAAUUCCUGGUGUAGCGGUGGAAUGCGCAGAUAUCAGGAGGAACACCGGUGGCGAAGGCGGAUCUCUGGGCCAUUACUGACGCUGAGGAGCGAAAGCGUGGGGAGCGAACA
rnacentral:rRNA from 1 species